CACCUUUCAGUGACUAAGUCCAAACUGCCAAAACCAGGAUUUAUGUACAUCUUAACAACACUGCACAAAUUAUCAGUAUUUUAUUGUGUUUGGGGCUCAAUAAUCUGAUUGUGAACAGAUCUAAUUUAAAACUGACAUUUCAUUCAUAAAUGUAAAUCUAAAAAAAAAAAGCCAAAUGCAAAAAUUUAGAUUAUUUGAAUUUGAAAUGAAGGAAGGAAAAAAUACUGCAUCUUGUUCCCCGAUAUUUAUUUUUAUUCAUGACCAUUCCUUCCUAGAAAUUGCUAUCUGAAGCUUUUGACAUUUCUGUGGUAGGUACAGUAUUUCAAGUGUGUCCAUGAAAUAAGUUAGCUGAAACAAAAUAAAAUAUCUCCUCCUAGUACACUCUGAUAUUGUGCAUGUCAAUGCAAAUACCAAAGCAUGACAGACUG
rnacentral:lncRNA from 1 species